rnacentral:rRNA from 1 species
UACAGAGGUGGCAAGCGUUUGUUCGGAAUUACUGGGCGUAAAGGGCGCGUAGGCGCCUUCUCAGUCAGACGUGAAAUCCCCCGGGCUUAACUCGGGAGGGUCACGCGAUACUGAUCGACUCGAAGGCAGGAGAGGGUGGUGGAAUUCCCGGUGUAGCGGUGAAAUGCGUAGAUAUCGGGAGGAACAUCAGUGGCGAAGGCGACCACCUGGCCUAACACUGACGCUGAGGUGCGAAAGCGUGGGUAGCAAACAGG